AUAUAGUAUUGUCUACAAUCCCAAAUUCUGGAUUGACGCCCCAAUCCCAGAGGGCACCCCAAUCCCAGAGGGCAUCCAUCUGAAACCAGGUGAGGUAACACAACGAAAAAAUUACCGGAUGGAGACUACUUGAUUCUUCACCUAUGGCCUCAGCUUCAAAUGCAAGAAGUCCAGCAACUGUCUGAGUUGGUGGAUAUUCUGUCAGAGACUGCGUGAACAACGUUAUGAACAGAAUGAUGUCAAAUUGUCUUAUGGCAAAGUUCAAUAUGAGGGGUGGUGGACAUCUGGAAAAGAAGUCUUUUAAAGGCACACCUUUGUAUUAUGUUAUUCAAGAUGCUGUGAAGAGGUGGAGCCAAAAUUCCACAGACUCGGAAAUAGAUGCAGCUAUGGCAGACCACCUCAAGCACGCUCCAGGAAGAGCUGGGGGUGGUGGAUACAAAAAAGCCAAACAGCUGUGAUGUGUUAGAGAGAGUUCACCAAAAAAUGAAAAUUGUUAUAAUUUUCUUAUCCACAUGUUUCAAACAUGUAUACCUUUCUAUUUUUUGCUGAACACAAAGAUUGAAGAAUGUUUGUAACUUCACAACCCAUUAACUGUCAAUUUUUUUUACAAUUGUAGUAAUGGGUUGUGAGAUCUGCUUUGUUAAAAACAUUCUUUCAAAUAUCUUUGUGUUCAGCAGAACAUAGAAAGGUAUACAGGUUUGAAACAUGAGAGGGAAUAAAAGACUAAAUAUUAAUUUUUGGGUGAACUAUCCCUUUAUAGAAAGUGUUUUGAAAUUGUUAUUAUAGUUAAAUGGUUAAAAAAAUAAAAAGUGCUAAAUCAGAA